AACGAACGCUGGCGGCAGGCCUAACACAUGCAAGUCGAGCGAGACCUUCGGGUCUAGCGGCGGACGGGUGAGUAACGCGUGGGAAUAUGCCCUUUGGUACGGAAUAGCCUCGGGAAACUGAGAGUAAUACCGUAUGUGCCCGUCGGGGGAAAGAUUUAUCGCCAAAGGAUUAGCCCGCGUUGGAUUAGGUAGUUGGUGGGGUAAUGGCCUACCAAGCCUACGAUCCAUAGCUGGUUUGAGAGGAUGAUCAGCCACACUGGGACUGAGACACGGCCCAGACUCCUACGGGAGGCGGCAGUGGGGAAUCUUAGACAAUGGGGGCAACCCUGAUCUAGCCAUGCCGCGUGAGUGAUGAAGGCCUUAGGGUUGUAAAGCUCUUUCAGCUGGGAAGAUAAUGACGGUACCAGCAGAAGAAGCCCCGGCUAACUCCGUGCCAGCCGCCGCCGUAAUAC
rnacentral:rRNA from 1 species